UACGUAGGGACCAAGCGUUGUUCGGAUUUACUGGGCGUAAAGGGCGCGUAGGCGGGCGCAACAAGUCACUUGUGAAAUCUCCGGGCUUAACCCGGAGCGGUCAAGUGAUACUGUCGUGCUAGAGUGCGGAAGGGGCUACUGGAAUUCCUGGUGUAGCGGUGAAAUGCGCAGAUAUCAGGAGGAACACCAAUUGCGAAGGCAGCUCGCUGGGACGUUACUGACGCUGGAGACGCGAAAGCCGUGGGAGCAAACAGG
rnacentral:rRNA from 1 species